rnacentral:rRNA from 2 species
UGAGAUUUGAUCCUGGCUCAGGAUAACGCUGGCGGCGUGCCUAUACAUGCAAGUCGAGCGAAUUGUUGAGUUUACUCAACAAUUAGCGGCGGACGGGUGAGUAACACGUGGGCAACCUGCCUAUAAGACUGGGAUAACUUCGGGAAACCGGAGCUAAUACCGGAUAUGUUCUUCUCUCGCAUGAGAGAAGAUGGAAAGACGGUCUCGGCUGUCACUUAUAGAUGGGCCCGCGGCGCAUUAGCUAGUUGGUGAGGUAAUGGCUCACCAAGGCAACGAUGCGUAGCCGACCUGAGAGGGUGAUCGGCCACACUGGGACUGAGACACGGCCCAGACUCCUACGGGAGGCAGCAGUAGGGAAUCUUCCGCAAUGGACGAAAGUCUGACGGAGCAACGCCGCGUGAACGAUGAAGGCUUUCGGGUCGUAAAGUUCUGUUGUUAGGGAAGAACAAGUACCAGAGUAACUGCUGGUACCUUGACGGUCCUAACC